UACGUAGGGUGCAAGCGUUGUCCGGAAUUAUUGGGCGUAAAGAGCUCGUAGGCGGUCUGUCGCGUCUGCUGUGAAAACCUAGGGCUUAACUCUGGGCGUGCAGUGGGUACGGGCAGACUAGAGUGCGGUAGGGGAGACUGGAAUUCCUGGCGUAGCGGUGAAAUGCGCAGAUAUCAGGAGGAACACCGGUGGCGAAGGCGGGUCUCUGGGCCGAUACUGACGCUGAGGAGCGAAAGCGUGGGGAGCGAACAGG
rnacentral:rRNA from 1 species